UUGGCGAUAGCGCACUUGUUGGUGUCACUUGGGAUCAUACUAGCGGCAGACCAGUUCUUGAAACAGGCUUUUGUAGCAGCCUCCAUAAAGUUCCCCAGCGCUUUGUUUGGAGGCAGACCAUUUCUUGAAACAGGCUUUUGUAGCAGCCUCCAUAAAGUUCCCCAGCGCUUUGUUUGGGAUGUUUUGUAUUUUCUCUGUUCUUAUGAUAUUAGAUACCGUUGUCCCCGCUGCUGCAACUGGCAUGAUGAACUUCUUCGAGCCAGCGUU
rnacentral:lncRNA from 1 species